rnacentral:rRNA from 1 species
UACGUAGGGUCCGAGCGUUGUCCGGAAUUAUUGGGCGUAAAGGGCUCGUAGGCGGUUUGUUGCGUCGGGAGUGAAAACUUACAGCUUAACUGUGAGCGUGCUUCCGAUACGGGCAGACUUGGAGGUAUUCAGGGGAGAACGGAAUUCCUGGUGUAGCGGUGAAAUGCGCAGAUAUCAGGAGGAACACCGGUGGCGAAGGCGGUUCUCUGGGAAUAUCCUGACGCUGAGGAGCGAAAGUGUGGGGGAGCGAACAGG